UACGGGGGGUGCAAGCGUUGUUCGGAAUUACUGGGCGUAAAGGGCUCGUAGGCGGCCAACUAAGUCAGACGUUAAAUCCCUCGGCUUAACCGGGGAACUGCGUCUGAUACUGGAUGGCUUGAGGUUGGGAGAGGGAUGCGGAAUUCCAGGUGUAGCGGUGAAAUGCGUAGAUAUCUGGAGGAACACCGGUGGCGAAGGCGGCAUACUGGACCAAAUCUGACGCUGAGGAGCGAAAGCCAGGGGAGCAAACGGG
rnacentral:rRNA from 1 species